rnacentral:rRNA from 1 species
AUGCUAUGGAAGAUAUUCAGCGUCAUCAAGCGUCGCGGCGCGGGAGGUAGGAAGGAAGAAAAUAAAGUCGGCGACUUGGGAGAGCUAGGUGAUCGAAUCCGGAGGAGAGGAUCCAUGGUGCAGCGAAGGCGCGUCCUUCCCGUCGUCGUGGACGACGGCGACUGCGGGUACCUCCUCUUCAGGAUCAACGUCAACCGUCUCUUCUCCUCCUCCCAGUCACAGGAGACAAAGAUGCGGCGCCUCCCGGCUCCCGUCACGCGGUUCGCCACGAUGCCCCACAGGCCCGAGCGCAUCGACUUCGCGCUGGCCGGCGGCGGCGCCACCCUGGUCGGCGUAAGCAGCCAGCACCGCACCGUCCUGCACGACGCCGCGUCCGGCGUCACCUCGGCCGGGCCGGAGCUGGCGCACGACAAGGUCGGCUGCUGCUUCGUCGUCCCGCUCGGCCGUCGCCGGCUCUGCGCGGUCAAGCGCCGCCACUAUGACUAUCCCGCCAGCCCGGACGAGCCAACUGAGCCACUCGGCGAGACCCUGGUCGGCGGAGCCUGGCGCGCGCUCCCGGACCCGCCGCCCGACCUCAUCCGAAGUAGACGUGGCAACCCGGCGUGCCUGCUCACCGCCUGCUUCGCCGCGGGGAAGCGCCUCUGGGUCUCGGCCAGGGACAGGGGCACCUACUCCGUCGACACGGCCGCCCGCGCCGCCGAUGGGUGGCGCAAGGAGGGCGACUGGCAGCUGCCGUUCCAGUGCCGCGGCCUCCUGGCCCCCGACCUGGCCCCCGGCCUCUGCUUCGGCCUCUGCCCCCGGACCACCCGCCUCUGCGCCUGCGAUGUCCGGCGCUCGCCGCCGCCGGUCCGGUACGCCUGGGACGACACCCGACCGUGCUGGCCGACGUCCUUCAGCCAAGAGAACAUCGCCACCGUCGCGCGGCUCCCGGACAGCAGCCUGGCAUACCUCGGCGACGGCGAGUUCUGCAUCGCGUGGACCAUCGCGAUCAGCGAGGACAACUCGACCAUACGGCAGCGUGCGCUCUGGUUGAUGGGCGUCAAGAUCGGCAAGAACUCCCCGUCGGCUCCCCUCCGCCUGCUCCACCACAAGGCCUGCAUCUACGAGUUGCCGGACCGGGCUCUGAUGGCCUACGCUCUUCAUGCGGAUUGA